AUGAACGCUGGCGGCGCGCUUAACACAUGCAAGUCGAACGAGAAAGUGGUCUUCGGACCGCGAGUAAAGUGGCGAACGGGUGAGUAACACGUAAGAAUCUACCGUUCAGUGAAGGAUACCUCCGAGAAAUUGGAGUUAAUACUGCAUACGUCCCUUAGGGGAGAAAGAUGGCCUCUUUGCUGUCGCUGAAUGAUGAGCUUGCGCACUAUUAGCUAGUUGGUGGGGUAAAGGCCUACCAAGGCUUUGAUGGUUAGCCGGCCUGAGAGGGUGAUCGGCCACAUUGGGACUGAGAUACGGCCCAGACUCCUACGGGAGGCAGCAGUGGGGAAUAUUGCACAAUGGGGGAAACCCUGAUGCAGCGACGCCGCGUGGAGGAUGAAGGUUUUAGGAUCGUAAACUCCUGUUAUAUGGGAAGAAAUACCUUUGGUUAAUAGCCUUAGGGGAUGACGGUACCAUAAGAGAAAGCUCCGGCUAACUUCGUGCCAGCAGCCGCGGUAAUACGAGGGGAGCAAGCGUUAUUCGGAAUUACUGGGCGUAAAGAGUUCGUAGGCGGCCUGAUAAGUCAGUUGUUAAAGACCACAGCCUAACUGUGGAUAUGCGAUUGAUACUGUCGGGCUAGAGGAUAGGAGAGAGAAGUGGAAUUCUCGGAGUAGCGGUAAAAUGCGUAGAUCUCGAGAGGAACACCGACGGCGAAGGCAGCUUCUUGGCCUAUUCCUGACGCUGAGGAACGAAAGCGUGGGGAGCAAACAGGAUUAGAUACCCUGGUAGUCCACGCCGUAAACGAUGAUCACUAGAUGUUGGUUUCCGUCCUAGGAAAUCAGUGUCGAAGCUAACGCGUUAAGUGAUCCGCCUGGGGAGUACGGUCGCAAGAUUAAAACUCAAAGGAAUUGACGGGGGUCCGCACAAGCGGUGGAACAUGUGGUUUAAUUCGACGAUACGCGAGGAACCUUACCUAGGUUUGACAUGUAAUCGCUACAUCCUGAAAGGGAUGGUUCUUAGUUUACUAAGACGGUUACACAGGUGCUGCAUGGCUGUCGUCAGCUCGUGUCGUGAGAUGUUUGGUUAAGUCCUUUAACGAGCGCAACCCUUGUCGUUAGUUGCUAGUUCUUCGGAGCGCACUCUAACGAGACUGCCUUGGGAACAAGGAGGAAGGUGGGGAUGACGUCAAGUCCUCAUGGCCCUUAUGCCUAGGGCUACACACGUGUUACAAUGGCCAGUACAACGAGGAGCAAUACUGUGAAGUGGAGCAAAUCUGCUAAAGCUGGUCUAAGUUCGGAUUGGAGUCUGCAACUCGACUCCAUGAAGUUGAAAUCGCUAGUAAUCGCGUAUCAGAACGACGCGGUGAAUACGUUCUCGGACCUUGCACACACCGCCCGUCAA
rnacentral:rRNA from 1 species